CUACAUGAAGCUGGAGUUACUAGUAAUCGCAGAUCAGAAUGCUGCGGUGAAUGCGUUCCCGGGUCUUGUACACACCGCCCGUCACACCACGGGAGUUGGAGACGCCCGAAGCCGAUUAUCUAACCUUUUGGAAGAAGUCGUCGAAGGUGGAAUCAAUAACUGGGGUGAAGUCGUAACAAGGUAGCCGUAUCGGAAGGUGCGGCUGGAUCACCUCCUUUCUAAGGAGA
rnacentral:rRNA from 1 species